rnacentral:lncRNA from 1 species
GGGAAGGACAGAUUCUGAGCUGCAAGACAGGAUUGAGUGGGCAAGAUCAUGGAGAAAUAGUAGCCCUGAAUGCUGAGAUAGGUGCUGGUGAAAGAGAUGCUGUUUACUACAGAGGAACAGGAUCACAUUGGGUGGGACCCACAAGUUGGUCCCAGAAAAGGACAGCAGAUGUUCCAAGUAUCCAGUAGGAAUUUGAUGCUGCCUUCUCUAAGACCAUUCCUGACUGGGACACCAAUUCAGCUGAAGGUCACUGGGUUCCAAAUACCCACAAGAAGAUCCAGAAGACUGAAAGCUUUGAAGGUAA